rnacentral:rRNA from 1 species
GACGAACGCUGGCGGCGUGCUUAACACAUGCAAGUCGAACGGUAAGGCCCUUCGGGGUACACGAGUGGCGAACGGGUGAGUAACACGUGGGUGAUCUGCCCUGCACUUCGGGAUAAGCCUGGGAAACUGGGUCUAAUACCGGAUAGGACCACUGCCUGCAGGGGUGGUGGUGGAAAGCUUUUGCGGUGUGGGAUGGGCCCGCGGCCUAUCAGCUUGUUGGUGGGGGGAUGGCCGACCAAGGCGACGACGGGUAGCCGGCCUGAGAGGGUGACCGGCCACACUGGGACUGAGAUACGGCCCAGACUCCUACGGGAGGCAGCAGUGGGGAAUAUUGCACAAUGGGCGCAAGCCUGAUGCAGCGACGCCGCGUGAGGGAUGACGGCCUUCGGGUUGUAAACCUCUUUCAGCACCGACGAAGCGCAAGUGACGGUAGGUGCAGAAGAAGGACCGGCCAACUACGUGCCAGCCGCCGCCGUAA